GUUCUUUUUACUGAUAGUGUAUAUAGUAGUGUAAAUAAUCUUUCCAUUUAUUAUUUCUUUCCUAUUUUUCUUGAAUAGAAAAAUUGGAAAGAUUUUUAUUUUUAUUUUAUAACUGAGGUGAUAAGAUUCAAGAUAUUCUGUUGCCCUAGAUGAGUUCAUACCUCAGAGAAAGACGAUCAAGGUAGGUCUCACGAUCGAUGGGAAACCAUUUGGGGAACUGAUCAAGGAUCCAUGAGAAGGCGAACCAGAUCUCACAUAUAACAGAAGUCAACCAGAGCCCAAAGGCGUCGUGCACGGGGUUCAAUAGUCUAUAACGUAGGAAGAAAGCCAGAAUCACCAGCCUAGCCACAAUUACCAUACGGCUCGGAUACUGGAUAGGGAUGCACCCGUUUAUGCAGAGAGGAUCCCAUCUGCUCUCCAUAAGCAUGAUUGGACAUCGGGAUUUCACCGCUGACCUGCAUCCAUGGAACAAAGUUCACAAGAAAUGAAUUUCACCUUGGAUGAGAGCGGACCCCAGCUAUAACAGGCGGGUACUGGGCAUUAUCAUCAUCUUCAGGCAUGGUUACCUCUUCAUGGCCAUGGAUGACGACGAGCUCGUUCCUGUUGUGAGAACCAGCUACAAGUCCAGCGCUGGCUUCCAUUGAUGGAGAAGGUAGUGUGUGUACUGUGUAUAGUGAGAAAAGAGGCUGGUCAAGCAAUGGUGUGGUAAGGGAUUCUUUUUAAGGAAUGUUAAAAAGGGUAGAAUUACUAUCAUUUUCUUGACCACCUAAUAUAGGCAGAUGUUGGUUGCAGAGUCUCCAUUGCCUUCAAGUUAAGCUUCUUCUGUUCCAACCACCUUUAAGCAUCCUCUUCUGUGGCCUUUUUUUCAAAGACCAACUUUACCAUUUAUUUUUUUAGGAAUUAAUAUUGUCUUCUAUUCAUUAUUUUUGAAGUGCCCUUUUAAUAAAUUAAUAAUUAAACAUAAAUGAUUAUCUUGAGAUUAUGUCACUUUAUUAGAAAUGAUUACUGGUAAGAAAUUCAAGUAAAUUGUCUUAAUUUUGGGUAUAUGGUCUUCUUCUGAGUAUUAGUCAUAUGUAUCCAACGGAAUUUGAAAUCAGUCAUACAUAAAAGUUCUUUUAAA